UACGUAGGGUGCGAGCGUUAAUCGGAAUUACUGGGCGUAAAGCGUGCGCAGGCGGUUCGUUGUGUCUGCUGUGAAAGCCCCGGGCUCAACCUGGGAAUGGCAGUGGAAACUGGCGAGUUGGAGUGUGGCGGAGGGGGGUGGAAUUCCUGGUGUAGCGGUGAAAUGCGCAGAUAUCUGGAGGAACACCGGUGGCGAAGGCGGCUCACUGGCCCGAUACUGACGCUGAGGCACGAAAGCGUGGGGAGCAAACAGG
rnacentral:rRNA from 1 species